UGGGGAAUAUUGCACAAUGGGCGCAAGCCUGAUGCAGCCAUGCCGCGUGUGUGAAGAAGGCCUUCGGGUUGUAAAGCACUUUCAGCGUGGAGGAAGGCGAUAAGGUUAAUAACCUCAUCGAUUGACGUUACCCGCAGAAGAAGCACCGGCUAACUCCGUGCCAGCAGCCGCGGUAAUACGGAGGGUGCAAGCGUUAAUCGGAAUUACUGGGCGUAAAGCGCACGCAGGCGGUUUGUUAAGUCAGAUGUGAAAUCCCCGGGCUCAACCUGGGAACUGCAUCUGAUACUGGCAAGCUUGAGUCUCGUAGCGGGGGGUAGAAUUCCAGGUGUAGCGGUGAAAUGCGUAGAGAUCUGGAGGAAUACCGGUGGCGAAGGCGGCCCCCUGGACAAAGACUGACGCUCAGGUGCGAAAGCGUGGGGAGCAAACAGG
rnacentral:rRNA from 1 species